UACAAAUAAAUAAAUGUACAC
rnacentral:snRNA from 1 species